rnacentral:rRNA from 1 species
UACGAAGGGGGCUAGCGUUGUUCGGAAUUACUGGGCGUAAAGCGCACGUAGGCGGAUAUUUAAGUCAGGGGUGAAAUCCCAGAGCUCAACUCUGGAACUGCCUUUGAUACUGGGGUAUCUUGAGUAUGGAAGAGGUAAGUGGAAUUGCGAGUGUAGAGGUGAAAUUCGUAGAUAUUCGCAGGAACACCAGUGGCGAAGGCGGCUUACUGGUCCAUAACUGACGCUGAGGUGCGAAAGCGUGGGGGAGCAAACAGG